rnacentral:rRNA from 1 species
CCUACGGGUGGCAGCAGUGAGGAAUAUUGGUCAAUGGACGGGAGCCUGAACCAGCCAAGCCGCGUGAAGGAAGAAGGCGCCAGGCGUCGUAAACUUCUUUUGUCGGGGAACAAAGCGCGCCACGUGUGCCGUUGUGCGUGUACCCUAAGAACAAGCAUCGGCUAACUCCGUGCCAGCAGCCGCGGUAAUACGGAGGAUGCGAGCGUUAUCCGGAUUUAUUGGGUUUAAAGGGUGCGUAGGCGGCCUUUUAAGUCAGCGGUGAAAGUCUGUGGCUCAACCAUAGAAUUGCCGUUGAAACUGGGGGGCUUGAGUAUGUUUGAGGCAGGCGGAAGGCGUGGUGUAGCGGGGAAAUGCUUAGAUAUCACGCAGAACCCCGAUUGCGAAGGCAGCCUGCCAAGCCAUGACUGACGCUGAUGCACGAAAGCGUGGGGAUCAAACAGGAUUAGAUACCCGUGUAGUC